rnacentral:rRNA from 1 species
GACGAACGCUGGCGGCGUGCUUAACACAUGCAAGUCGAACGGAAAGGCCCUGCUUUUGUGGGGUGCUCGAGUGGCGAACGGGUGAGUAACACGUGAGUAACCUGCCCUUGGCUUUGGGAUAACUUCAGGAAACUGGGGCUAAUACCGGAUAGGAGCUCCUGCUGCAUGGUGGGGGUUGGAAAGUUUCGGCGGUUGGGGAUGGACUCGCGGCUUAUCAGCUUGUUGGUGGGGUAGUGGCUUACCAAGGCUUUGACGGGUAGCCGGCCUGAGAGGGUGACCGGCCACAUUGGGACUGAGAUACGGCCCAGACUCCUACGGGAGGCAGCAGUGGGGAAUAUUGCACAAUGGGCGGAAGCCUGAUGCAGCAACGCCGCGUGCGGGAUGACGGCCUUCGGGUUGUAAACCGCUUUCGCCUGUGACGAAGCGUGAGUGACGGUAAUGGAUAAAGAAGCACCGGCUAACUACGUG